rnacentral:rRNA from 1 species
UACGUAGGGGGCUAGCGUUGUCCGGAAUCAUUGGGCGUAAAGAGCGUGUAGGCGGCCCGGUAAGUCCGCUGUGAAAGUCGGGGGCUCAACCCUCGAAUGCCGGUGGAUACUGUCGGGCUAGAGUGCGGAAGAGGCGAGUGGAAUUCCUGGUGUAGCGGUGAAAUGCGCAGAUAUCAGGAGGAACACCAAUUGCGAAGGCAGCUCGCUGGGACGUAACUGACGCUGGAGGAGCGAAAGCAUGGGGAGCGAACAGG